AUGCGGUGUAACGUGCAGCCUGUGCUCGUGCACGCAGCAUGGAGCCCUCUGUCUCCAACAGCCACCGCGCUGCCGAGCGCAGCCCCGGCCUGCUCUCCACCUCGAGCACCUUGUCCUUGCUGGGUCCCGACGGCUGCUGCUGCCCUGGGCAAGGUGCCGCCAUUGCCCCCACCUCAGCCUUGUCUGGCAUCCUUUCCCAAUACAGGAGAUCCUCUGUGUGUUUUGACCCCUGAGGACGACGGAAGGCUGUGCAGCCCCCUUGCCUAUUGCCCAUCAGCCAAGAUGGCUGCCAUGUCGUGCCAGCACCCAUCUGGCCCACACGAAAUGGCCGCCCCACGGUGCCGCAGUGCCCAGCAGUCAGCCUCCUGCCCACAAAGGUGGCUGCCGUCUCCCUGCAGAGCAGCCAAACGGCAUGUGCGAGGCUACGGGCUGUCAGCUGGAGGAGGGCCGGCAGGGGUGUGGGGUGUGAGGAGCAGAGGAAACCUCGUGCACGGUGGGGAGGAGGAGGAGGAAGAGAAGGAGGCCAAGUGCCGAGAGGAUGUCAGGGACGGCCUGAGCGGGUGUGGAGGAAACAGACAAGGAAAGGAACUGGCGGAAUUGAUUGCUGUCACAGUUGUUUUAAUCACUGCCAUGCUAAAUCAUCUGUGGUAAGUUAUUUUAGAGAUCUUUCAUGACCAAUUUUUUGUUAGUAUAGAACAAGAGAUCUCAAAUGCCACUGUUUUGCUUGUUAUACUGCUAGAACAUUUUUUUUUUUACAGAGAAGGUCCUCAAGCCUGUCCAGUUUGUUAAGCAGUAAGUAUGGCUUUUACAGCUAAUAGGAAUGGGCUUUUUAUCCUCUGGCUAUUAACCCUGAUGAUAAAAGUAAAAAGAAUUUAGCAAUGUGUCUCUUUUUAGGAGUUACUUGCAUUUUGGUUUGGUGUUCUUCCUUGGCCUAAUACAUAACACGUAAAUGGGCCUGUUUGGAAAUGCCAAAAGUGGAUAUAUUGUAGCAAAAUGACUACCAAAACCAAGAGCAAAAGCCCAUUUAGUUGUAUCAGAUAUGCAGAAGGCAGUUAAUUUUCCUGUCUUUCUUUAUAUCUGUAAUUAGGCUUUGAGGGCUUUUUUGUCCAAUCUUGGGCAAAGCAUCUGGUCUCAAGCAGUUGCACACACACAUUUCUUACUGUUUUCAUAUCCUACACUUUCCAUUUUCUUUUCAUUGCCAUUUGCUUAGGAAUUGAUUUUACUUCCCACAGAGAAUUCUCCAUGAAUAAAAAUGUGGGAAUAACAUUUUAACUUAUACA
rnacentral:lncRNA from 1 species